rnacentral:rRNA from 1 species
UACGAGGGGGGCGAGCGUUGUUCGGAAUUAUUGGGCGUAAAGGGUGCGUAGGCGGUUUGGUAAGUCUUGUGUGAAAUCUCCAGGCUCAACUUGGAGUCUGCACGAGAAACUGCCGGGCUUGAGUGUGGGAGAGGUGAGUGGAAUUCCCGGUGUAGCGGUGAAAUGCGCAGAUAUCAGGAGGAACACCGGUGGCGAAGGCGGGUCUCUGGGCCGAUACUGACGCUGAGGAGCGAAAGCGUGGGGAGCGAACAGG